AGUGAACGCUGGCGGUAGGCCUAACACAUGCAAGUCGAACGGCAGAACAGGAGAGCUUGCUCUCUGGGUGGCGAGUGGCGGACGGGUGAGGAAAAUCAUCGGAAUCUACCUUUUUCCGUGGGGGUGAUAACGUAGGGAAAUCUUACGCUAAUACCGCAUACGACCUACGGGUGAAAGUGGGGACCGCAAGGCCUCACGCGAUUAGAUGAGCCGAUGUCCGAUUAGCUAGUUGGCGGGUAAUGGCCCACCAAGGCGACGAUCGGUAGCUGGUCUGAGAGGAUGAUCAGCCACACUGGAAUCUGAGACACGGUCCAGACUCCUACGGGAGGCAGCAGUGGGGAAUAUUGGACAAUGGGCGCAAGCCUGAUCCAGCCAUACCGCGUGGGUGAAGAAGGCCUCGGUUGUAAGCC
rnacentral:rRNA from 1 species